AAAUCAGAGCAAACGGGUGCAGCGCCUCAAAAUUCCAAAUAACACCAUGCCACAGAUAACAUUAAGGACUGUUAGAAGACUUUUACAGGAGAAAGGGAAGACAGAGCCUUUGUGCAAAGGCUACACAGCCCACUAACUUGGAAGAGCAACCUCUCAUCUCCUUGCAUAGGACACUCAGUAAGAAAGAGGCUACCCAGCACAGCUCUGUUGAAAGGAUCGCUGGUCUCAGGGCUGUGUUGAGCUGGUGCUAAGAGGCAGCAGCUGUGCAUCCUACACUUGGCUCUCAGAAUUUUUUUUCCUGGGCUCUUUGCUCCCUCCAGCCCCAAGAUCUACCAGCUGUGUUGUGCUGGCUUUGCUCUGUGUUGGCGAGGAGUGUGGCGCUCCCCUAGGGAUGGGGGUAACUCUUUGGUCAAUUGAACUUAUCAAUUAACCAGGGGGUGUCCUGUUGCAUGCUUAGAUCUUAUACCUGGAAAGCUUGAAAUUAAGUGGGACUUCUACUGUAAGAAAUCAAAGCUAGUCCUCAGGUCUUAAAGCAUGGUAAAUGUCUCAAGUGUUGCAACCAGAGCUGUGCAUAAACCUUGGAGGAAAAGUGCUGCCUACUGAAUAUAGCCCAGUGCCAGUGAGAGGUUGCUUCCUGCUUUCUCAUCCUAUAACACUUUUAUUUUUUUUUAACUAGAUAGUCCAAUUUGAGGUUAAUUUAACACUGCAGGAAGCAUCCCUUUUGAUUUCAGGCUGUUUUAUUAGUCAGUGAUCUAGGACAUGGGACAAGUGUGUUCCUCAGACAGCAAUACUGAAUAGCUAGCCAACAGUCCGAAGUGUGACUGUUUAGGGAUGAAAGACUGGCACCAGCUGCAUUGAAUGAAUGAGCACUAGAUAUAUCAGCCAUUUCUUCUUUCCUCUCCUCUGAUCUGAGGAUGUGCAGCAAGAUUUUGUCCAAGGGUACGCCAAGCCCUAGUGAUUUGCAGAGAGAGCAGUGGCUUUGCUAUGAGGGAUGUUUCUGGACAAAACCCGUUGCAAGUAAAAUCACCACAUCUCCUGCCCUAUCAAGUGGAUGAUGGAUGUUGGCAGCACUAAAAACUUGCAUGCGGUGAGAAGUGGAACACUUUUAUUUUGGUAUCCUGGUUGUUACGCAUGACGCAUGAUUAAAAGGAAGUGGUUUUACAGUGUGUGUGUUCUCAGCCUUGUUCACAUCUUGACCCUCCACUGAGUCUUGCCCAGAGAUGCCCCCAGAACCUCUGAGUGGUUCCCAUGGUGCUUCAUCAGGGGCCCCACCUUCUGUGGUAGUUUGUAAACGGGGCUGUGGGAAUUGAUGUGCUGGUUUACGGAGAUACUGCGCCGCCUGAGGUAGCCGGAUUUCAAAGUGGCUGAGUGAGCAUGCUUUGGUCAAAGACCAGUGACUGAACAUGAGAGCAGACUUUGCUUCUCCCUGGCCACCCUGGGGGAGGCAGCCAAGCCAGCCUGAGAACCACGAAUGAAGAGUUUGUUAAUGAAAAGGCAAAGACAGGGAGCCAG